rnacentral:rRNA from 1 species
AUUAAACGCUGGCGGCAUGCCUUACACAUGCAAGUCGAACGGCAGCACGGGGGCAACCCUGGUGGCGAGUGGCGAACGGGUGAGUAAAGCAUCGGAACGUGCCCUGGAGUGGGGGAUAACGUAGCGAAAGUUACGCUAAUACCGCAUAUUCUGUGAGCAGGAAAGCAGGGGAUCGCAAGACCUUGCGCUCUGGGAGCGGCCGAUGUCGGAUUAGCUAGUUGGUGGGGUAAAGCCUACCAAGGCGACGAUCCGUAGCGGGUCUGAGAGGAUGAUCCGCCACACUGGGACUGAGACACGGUCCAGACUCCUACGGGAGGCAGCAG